rnacentral:rRNA from 1 species
UACGGGGGGAGCAAGCGUUGUUCGGAUUUACUGGGCGUAAAGGGCGCGUAGGCGGCGCGACAAGUCACUUGUGAAAUCUCCGGGCUUAACCCGGAGCGGCCAAGUGAUACUGUAGUGCUAGAGUGCGGAAGGGGCUACUGGAAUUCUCGGUGUAGCGGUGAAAUGCGUAGAUAUCGAGAGGAACACCUGCGGCGAAGGCGGGUUGCUGGGCUGACACUGACGCUGAUGCGCGAAAGCCAGGGGAGCGAACGGG